rnacentral:rRNA from 1 species
ACAUACGACCAUAGGACGUCCGAUUAAACAGAAACCCGUCCGCUCUUCAUUCGUUAAACGGUUUUCCGGCGAGCUAGUAGCCAGGUGGGUGACCACUGGCGAAUCCUCGCUGUUGUAUGUA